AUGCUCCCUCUGGCAGCACAUACACUAAAAUUGGAACAAUACAGAGAAGAUGAGCACGGACCCUGCACAUGGAUGGCGUGCAAGUUUGUGAAUCGGUCCAUAUUCUU